rnacentral:rRNA from 1 species
CCUACGGGUGGCAGCAGUGAGGAAUAUUGGGCAAUGGGCGCAAGCCUGACCCAGCAACGCCGCGUGAAGGAAGAAGGCUUUCGGGUUGUAAACUUCUUUUCUAAGGGACGAAGCAAGUGACGGUACCUGAGGAAUAAGCCACGGCUAACUACGUGCCAGCAGCCGCGGUAAUACGUAGGUGGCAAGCGUUAUCCGGAUUUACUGGGUGUAAAGGGCGUGUAGGCGGGAAAGCAAGUCAGAUGUGAAAACCAUGGGCUCAACCUGUGGCCUGCAUUUGAAACUGUUUGUCUUGAGUACUGGGGAGGCAUACGGAAUUCCUAGUGUAGCGGUGAAAUGCGUAGAUAUUAGGAGGAACACCAGUGGCGAAGGCGGUCUGCUGGACAGCAACUGACGCUGAGGCGCGAAAGCGUGGGGAGCAAACAGGAUUAGAUACCCUUGUAGUC